GACGAACGCUGGCGGCGUGCUUAACACAUGCAAGUCGAGCGGUAAGGCCCUUUCGGGGGUACGACGAGCGGCGAACGGGUGAGUAACACGUGGGUGACCUGCCCUCAGCUCUGGGAUAAGCCCGGGAAACUGGGUCUAAUACCGGAUAUGACUCCAUGACGCAUGUUGUGGGGUGGAAAGCCUUGUGCGGCUGAGGAUGGGCCCGCGGCCUAUCAGCUUGUUGGUGGGGUGAUGGCCACCAAGGCGACGACGGGUAGCCGGCCUGAGAGGGCGACCGGCCACACUGGGACUGAGAUACGGCCCAGACUCCUACGGGAGGCAGCAGUGGGGAAUCUUGCGCAAUGGGCGAAGGCCUGACGCAGCGACGCCGCGUGAGGGAUGACGGCC
rnacentral:rRNA from 1 species